CAAAUAACUUCGAGCUGCUGUCAUCUAAGUUUCCUUAAUUUCUAAUAUAAUCGUCUACCAAACAUAUAGUGAUAUUUCUUGGAUCUCUCCCCCAUUUCUUUUAUAUCUCCCCCCCCCGGUCAACUUGGCAGUACUGUACUAUUCUACGUGUGAACAAUAACCCCAAUAGUAUCAUCUACAGUGACUACUACACAUGCACACAAUGUGAUUUCAAAAAAACUUCGAGAUGCUAUUAAGUAAGUCUUAUCAAUUUUUAAGACAAUCGUCCACAAAAUAUAUUGAGACUUUUUAAAUCAAUCCCCUCCCCCCUUAUUUCAAUGUUGAAACCUACUGUACUUGUCCAAAACGAACAUAAGGUGACACUAGCACCGCAGCUGUGUCACUGGCAGUUGAAAUUUUACAUAUGAUGUUGGAAUAAAACUAUAUUGUAGUGCCUAACAACAUUGAAAUCGGGGGAGGGGGU